GACGUAGGGCGCGAGCGUUUGUCCGGAUUUAUUGGGCGUAAAGAGCUCGUAGGCGGUUUGGUAAGUUGGAUGUGAAAUCUCCAGGCUCAACUUGGAGGGGUCAUUCGAUACUGCCAUGACUAGAGUUCGGUAGGGGAGUGUGGAAUUCCUGGUGGAGCGGUGAAAUGCGCAGAUAUCAGGAGGAACACCCGUAGCGAAGGCGGCACUCUGGGCCGGAACUGACGCUGAGGAGCGAAAGCGUGGGGAGCGAACAGG
rnacentral:rRNA from 1 species